rnacentral:rRNA from 1 species
GACGAACGCUGGCGGCGUGCUUAACACAUGCAAGUCGAGCGGUAAGGCCCUUUCGGGGGUACACGAGCGGCGAACGGGUGAGCAACACGUGGGUGACCUGCCCUCAGCUCUGGGAUAAGCCUGGGAAACCGGGUCUAAUACCGGAUAUGACUCCAUGACGCAUGUUGUGGGGUGGAAAGCCUUGUGCGGCUGAGGAUGGGCCCGCGGCCUAUCAGCUUGUUGGUGGGGUGA